GUGUCAGCCGCCGCGGUAAUACGGAGGGUGCGAGCGUUAUUCGGAAUUACUGGGCGUAAAGCGCGUGCAGGCGGGCGAAUAAGUCUGGUGUGAAAGCCCCGGGCUCAACCUGGGAAGUGCACUGGAAACUGUUCGUCUUGAGUGCUGGAGAGGAAGGGGGAAUUCCCGGUGUAGAGGUGAAAUUCGUAGAGAUCGGGAGGAAUACCGGUGGCGAAGGCGCCCUUCUGGACGGCAACUGACGCUGAGACGCGAAAGCGUGGGGAGCAAACAGGAUUAGAUACCCGCGUAGUCC
rnacentral:rRNA from 1 species